rnacentral:rRNA from 1 species
CAGCCGCCGCGGUAAUACGAAGGGUGCAAGCGUUACUCGGAAUUACUGGGCGUAAAGCGUGCGUAGGUGGUGGUUUAAGUCCGUUGUGAAAGCCCUGGGCUCAACCUGGGAAUUGCAGUGGAUACUGGGUCACUAGAGUGUGGUAGAGGAUAGUGGAAUUUCCGGUGUAGCAGUGAAAUGCGUAGAGAUCGGAAGGAACACCUGUGGCGAAGGCGACUAUCUGGGCCAACACUGACACUGAGGCACGAAAGCGUGGGGAGCAAACAGGAUUAGAUACCCCGGUAGUCCCUGUCUCUUAUAC